rnacentral:rRNA from 1 species
UACGUAGGGUGCGAGCGUUGUCCGGAAUUACUGGGCGUAAAGAGCUCGUAGGUGGUUUGUCGCGUUGUCCGUGAAAACUCACAACUCAAUUGUGGGCGUGCGGGCGAUACGGGCAGACUGGAGUACUGCAGGGGAGACUGGAAUUCCUGGUGUAGCGGUGGAAUGCGCAGAUAUCAGGGGGAACACCGGUGGCGAAGGCGGGUCUCUGGGCAGUAACUGACGCUGAGGAGCGAAAGCGUGGGGAGCAAACAGG